rnacentral:rRNA from 1 species
AUUGAACGCUGGCGGCAUGCUUUACACAUGCAAGUCGAACGGUAACAGGCCGCAAGGUGCUGACGAGUGGCGAACGGGUGAGUAAUGCAUCGGAACGUGCCCAGUCGUGGGGGAUAACGCAGCGAAAGCUGCGCUAAUACCGCAUACGAUCUAUGGAUGAAAGCGGGGGAUCGCAAGACCUCGCGCGAUUGGAGCGGCCGAUGUCAGAUUAGGUAGUUGGUGGGGUAAAGGCUCACCAAGCCGACGAUCUGUAGCUGGUCUGAGAGGACGACCAGCCACACUGGAACUGAGACACGGUCCAGACUCCUACGGGAGGCAGCAGUGGGGAAUUUUGGACAAUGGGGGAAACCCUGAUCCAGCAACGCCGCGUGAAUGAAGAAGGCCUUAGGGUUGUAAAGUUCUUUGUCAGGGAAGAAAGUUUCUGUGCUAAUACCAUAGAACGAUGACGGUACCUGAAGAAUAAGCACCGGCUAACUACGUGCCAGCA